ACUCAGACCUGGCAGGGGAGAUAUCAUUGUUGUAAAAGUGGUUUUCCCAGGGUAAGGCUCAUCUAUUGCACUUCAGAUGAGCUGACCCCUGUGAUUUCCCCAACUGCCUAAGUGGGAGACUGUGUUUGUGGUUUCCCU
rnacentral:snRNA from 1 species